AGAAAUAUAUUUUAAGAACUUCUAAUUCUUUACUUAAAUAUAAAAUAUUAAUAUUUCUU
rnacentral:tRNA from 1 species